GGAAUAAAUUGGCUGCUGACAU
rnacentral:siRNA from 1 species